GCGCACGUGGCGGAAUUGGUAGACGCGCCAGCUUGAGGGGCUGGUGACCUUAUGGUCGUGGAAGUUCGACUCUUCUCGUGCGCA
rnacentral:tRNA from 1 species